rnacentral:rRNA from 1 species
UGCAGAAUUCCGUGAACCAUUGAGUCUUUGAACGCAAGUUGCGCCCGAUGCCAUUAGGUUGAGGGCACGUCUGCCUGGGUGUCACAUAUCGAAGCCUCCUGCCAAUUUCCUUUUGAUAGGUAUUGUGCAUGCUGGUGAAUGUUGGCCUCCCGUGAGCUCUAUUGUCUCAUGGUUGGUUGAAAAUUGAGACCUUGGUAGGGUGUGCCAUGAUAGAUGGUGGUUGUGUGACCCACGAGAAACCAAGAUCAUGUGCUGCCCUAUUCAAUUCGGCCUCUUUUACCCAUAUGCGUUUUGUACGACGCUCGUGAUGAGACCUCAGGUCAGGCGGGGCUACCCGCUGAAUUUAAGCAUAUCAAUAAGCGGAGGAAAAGAAACUAACAAGGAUUCCCUUAGUAACGGCGAGCGAACCGGGAUAAGCCCACCAUGAAAAUCG